GUAAUUAUGCCCCAGUGACUCUACCCCUUUCUUCUCUGCUCCAGGGGGAGGCCCUGACCUCCUGUCAGCAUGCAAGGCUACCAAGGUGUUGGCCAACAGAGCUAGGGAUCCUGUACAAAUUUUUUAUACUUCUCUGGAGCCAGCACUUACCACCAAGGUACCAUUGGGAUUGAGUGUCCUGAAAAUCCCUAGCAGAAGGUAAGCGAGAACACAGUAACAAUGAUGUGAUUAUUAAAAAUUCAUAUUAAUGUUAACAUAGUGCUUUUCACAUCCGUUUUGCAGACAUGAAUUAAUUAAUCAAAAGGCUGCUAUUUGAGGAUAAACAUCACCGGUGAUGCCUCCCAGGAGAAAAAGCUGCAGGUUCAGCAGAAACAGUGAAGAGCUCACUGGGGUGACUGUUGGCCCUGGAGACGAGGUCCCCGGGCUGUGACCCCUGGUUUAAAAUCCUUGUACCAUCCUGAAUUUCUUGUGUGAACUCGGCAUUCAUACCUUUCCACCAUAUUGUUAUCUUUUUUCGUAAAAUGAGGAUACUAUUUUUUUCAAAAAAUAAGGAUUUUGCAACAAGGCAAUAAAAGAGGUGGGGGGACCCA
rnacentral:lncRNA from 1 species